rnacentral:rRNA from 1 species
AUGUUGAAAAAUUGGGGGAUGAGCUGUGGGUAGGGGUGAAAGGCCAAUCAAACUCCGUGAUAGCUGGUUCUCCCCGAAAUGCAUUUAGGUGCAGCGUCGUGCGUUUCUUGUCGGAGGUAGAGCACUGGAUGAUCUAGGGGGCCUACAAGCUUACCGAAAUCAACCAAACUCCGAAUGCCGAUAAGUCAGAGCACGGCAGUGAGACUGCGGGGGAUAAGCUUCGUAGUCGAGAGGGAAACAGCCCAGAUCACCAACUAAGGCCCCUAAGCGUGUGCUAAGUGGGAAAGGAUGUGGAGUCGCACAGACAACCAGGAGGUUGGCUUAGAAGCAGCCACCCUUGAAAGAGUGCGUAAUAGCUCACUGGUCAAGUGAUUCCGCGCCGACAAUUUAGCGGGGCUCAAGCACACCGCCGACGUGUGACAUUGAUGCAUUAUCUCGCCGGCGAGGUUCGCCUGUUGGUCCUAGGAGCGAUCGAUGGGUA